rnacentral:lncRNA from 1 species
GCGGGUCAAGACGGCCCAAGACGGUUUAAGGCAGCCCUUUAACGGGUCAAGGCGGCCCAAGGUGGGUCAAGGCGGCCCAAGACGUGUCAAGACGGCCCAAAGCGUGGCAAGGCAGCCCUUUGGCGGGUCAAGGCAGCCAUUUGGCGACCCAAGGCGGGUCAAGGGGGGGCAAAGCGGCCCAAGGUGAGGCAAGGCUGGUCAAGGCAGCCCAAGACGGGUCAAGGUGGGCCAAGGCGGGUUACGGCAGCCCUUUAACUGGUUAAGGCGGCCCAAGGCGGGUCAAGGCGCCCCAAAGCGGCUUAAGGCGAGUCAAGGCGGCCCAAGAUGGUUCAGAGCAGCCCCUUAACGGGUCAAGGCGGCCCAAGGCGGGUUUAGACAGGUCAAGGCGGCCCAAGGUGUGUUAAGGCGCCCCUUAACGGGUCAAGGUGGCCCAAGGCGCGUUAAGACGGCCACUUGGCGGCCAUAAGCGUGUUAAUACAGCCCAAGGCAGGUAAAGGCAGCCCAAGACGGAGAAAAGCGGCCCAAGGCAGGGCAAGGCUGGUCAAGGCGGGGCAAAGCGGCCAAAAGCGGGUUAAGGCGGGCCAAGGCGGGUCACGACAAGGUAGCCCUCAAGGAGUCAAGGUUGGUUAAGGCGGCCCUAAACGGGUCAAAGCGGGUUAAGGCUGCCCAAGGCGGGUCAAGGUGGCCGCUUGGCGGCCUUAAGUGCGGCCCAAGACGGGUCAAGACGGCCACUUGGUGGCCCUAAGAGGGUUAAGGCAGGGCAAAGCGGCCCAAGACGGGGCCAGGCUGAUUAAGGCAGCCCAAGACGUGUCAAGGCGGGCCAAAGCGGCUCACGGCAGCCCCUUAACAUGUCAAGACGGCCUAAGGCGGGUUAAGGCGGCUCAAAGAGGGUCAAGGCGGCCACUUGGCAGCCCAAGACGGCCCCUUAGCGGCUAUAGGCAUGUCACGGCGGCCCUUUGGCUGCCCUAGAUGGGUCUUGGCAGCCCAUUAGCGGGUUAAGGGAGGUUAAAACGGCAUAAAGAGUGUAUAGGUAGCCUUUUGGCUGGUCAAGGCGGGUCAAGGCAGCCUAAGGCGGUUCAAGGCAGCCCCUUAAUGGGUCAAGGCGGCCCAAGGCGGGUCAAGGCUGGUCAAGGUGGCCCAAGGCUGGUCAUGGAGUCCCAAGCGGGGCUAGGAGGGUCAAGGUAGCCCUUAACGGGUCAACGCGGGUCAAGACAGCCCAAGGUGGCCCUAGUUGUGUCUUGGCGGGACAAGACGGCCCUUGGCGGGUCAAGGUGACCCUAGGCGGUCGUAGGAGGGUCAAGGAAGCCCCUUUAACGGGUGAACCAAGGCGGGCCUAGAAGGGUCAAAACGGCCCCUUGGUGGCCCUAGACGGGUCAAUGCGGCCUCUUAACGACCUUAGGCGGGUCAAAGCGGCUCUUUGGAUGCUCUAGAUAGGUCUUGUCAGCCCCUUGGCGGGCCUAAAAGGCCCCUUCACGAGUCAAGGCGGGUCAAGAUGGCCACUUGGCAGCCCUAGGCGGGUCAGUGCGGCCCCUUGGUUGUCCAAAACGGGUCUUGGUAGCUCCUUGGUGGGUCAAGGCGGCCCCUUGGUGUCCUUAUACGGGUCUUGGUCCUAGUUGAGUCUUGGCGGGCCUAAGGGAGGUUAAAGCCACCCUAGGCGUGUAAAGGCAGCCCCUUGGCAGGUUAAGGCGAGCCUAGGCGGGCUUAAAAGAGUCAAGGCAACCACUUAACGGGUCAAGGAGGCCUAAGACGAGUCAACGCAGCCCAAGACAGUUCAAGGCAGCCCUUAACGGGUCAAGGGCGGCCCAAGGCGUAUCAAGGCGGCCCAAGGUGGGCCUAUGGGAGGUCAAAGCGGCCCUAGGCAUGUAAAGGCAGCCCUGUUGACCCGCCUUGGGCCGUCUUGACCCUUCUUGGGCCAACUUGGACCGCUUUGACCUGCCUUAACCCGCUUUGGGCCGCCUUCACCCUUCUUGACCUUCCUAGACCCUCCAAGGAGACCCUUUGACCCGCCUUGAUCCACCUUAACCCGCCUUGGCACCUUUACCCUUCUAAACCCGCCAAGGGGCCACCUUGACUCGCACAAGGCUGCCUUGACCCUCUUAGGCCUGCCUAGGGUUUCCAAGGGGUCGCCUUAACCCACCAAGAGGCCGCUUUAACCCUCAUAGGGCCGCUAAGGGGUUUCCUAGACCUUCUUAGACCCAUCUAAGGGCAUCAAGGGGCCGCCUUGACCUGUCUAGGGCCUCCAAAGGGUCGCCUUGACUCGCCCAGGGCUGCCUUGACCCGCCUUGACUCUCCUAGACCCUCCAAGGGGCCGCCUUGAUCUGCCUUAACCCACCUUAACCCGCCCAUGGUUGCUUUAACCCUUUUAAGCCCGCCAAGGGCCACCAAGGGGCCGCCAUGACCCUCUUAGGGCCGCCAAGAGGCCACCUUAACGCAUUUAGGGCCGCGAUGGCCUGUCAUGGGCCACCUUGACCCGCCUUGGCCGCCUUGACACUGAUACGGGCGCCAAGAUGUCGCCUUAACCAAUCUAAGGCCGACAAGGGGCUGCCUUGACCGGCCUUGGCCCGCCUUGACCCGCCUUGACCCGCCUCUGGCCGCCUUGACCCUCAUAGGGCCGUCUUGACCCGCCUUGACCCGCCUUGGACCGCUUUGACUCGCCUUAACCCGGCUUGGUCGCCUUUCUCGUCUAGGGCCGCCAAGGGGCUGCCUUGACCAUCCUAGGCUCUAUUAAGCCCACCUAGGGCCACCAAGGGGCCGCCUUAACCCGCCAAGAGGCCACCUUGACGCACCUAUGGCCGUUAAGGGAUUGCCUAGACCCAUCUAGGGGAACCAAGGGGCUAUCUUGACCCGUCUAGGGCCGCCAGGGGGCCGCCUUGACCUACUCAGAGCUGCCUUGACCUGCCUAGGGAUGUCUUGUCUUGACUUGCCUUGGCCGCUUUGACCCUCCUAGGGCCGCCAAGAGGUCGCCUUAACCCAUCUAGGGCUGUCAAGUGGUCGUCUUGACCUGCAUUGGCCCGCCAAGAAGCCACCUUAACCCAUUUAGGGCUGCCAAAUGGCCACUUUGGCCCGCCAUAGGCCGCCUUGACCCGCCUAGGGCUAUUUUGACCCUUUUAGGCCCGACUAGGGCAACUAAGGGGCCGCUUUGAUCCUCUAAGGGUCGCCAAGAGUCCACCUUAACCCAUUUAGGGCCGCCAAGGGGCCACCUUCACCUGUCUUGGGCCGCCUUCAUUUGUCUUGGGCCGCCUUCACCCGCCAUGGGCCACCUUGACCCGCCUUGACACUCUUACGAGCGCCAAGAGGCCGCCUUAACCCAUCUAGGGAUGCCAAGGGGCCGCCUUGACCCUUCUUGACCCUCCAAAGGGCGACCUUGACCCUCUUAGAGCCGUCAAGAGGCCGUCUUAACCCAUUUAGGGCCGCCAAGGGGCCACCUUGCCCCGCCUUGAUCCGCCUUGGCAGCCUUGACCCUCCAUGGGCCGCUAAGAGGCCGCCUUAACUCGCAUUGGCCUGCCAUGGGAAGCUGAGGAGAGAGAGAUUCGAAGAAGGGAAACUUUUCUAGGUUGCCGGCGAGUUCUCGAUUCCGGCCACGGCGGUGGGCGUGGAUGGUGUUGGUAGCUUUGUCUCGGUCUUGUUCACGUUCCUGUGCCUUCAGCUUGUUGAGAUGAUGUCCGGUGAGUGAGAACCGAUGUUAAGGAGUGGUUUAAAUUUUUCGACGAGAGUUCGACGGAUUCCGGUGUGCUUUGAUGUCGACUCAGGUAUGAAAAUGGGCUAGUUAGUCGAGCUCUACCUGCUUAUAUAAUUGGAAUUGAGAUUGGUUGGGAUUUGAAGAAGUUGGGUUUUGGCAGAGGAGGACCGCCGUGUGUGCUGCUGUGCACGGCGGCGGUGAAGGUGUUUGAUUCAUAUCUGGUUUCGAAUUUCAUAUUCUCUGUGUACUUGAGAUGCAGUUUUGAUUGAAAAUUGAAGGUUUGGAAUUUUGGAGUACUGUGUUGGUGUUGGCAUGAGCGGUAAUUGGCAGCGGUGAUGAUUUUGGAUUUGUUGUUCAUAUCAGGUUAUUGUGUUGGUGUUGCUGGGAGUGAGAAUAAUAAUCGUGUUACUCUGAUUUUGGUGGUUUCAUGUAUCUGUUGAUUGAUGAUGUUUUGUCAAAUGGAGGUUUGAUCUCAAAAAUGGAGGAAGUAGAAGAAAGAUGUUAAGUUGGAUAAUGAAAGUAUCUGUAGGUGUACUUGUUCCUUAUGAGUAAGUUCGUAUGCCUAGAACGAUAUUGUAGAAUGGUUAAAAAGAAUGAGCAUGGUAUUGGAUUUGGGAAGAAUUGCAAAAGCAAGAGGAAUCCCAAAUAGAGGUGUUGGGUGUCCAUAGUAAAAUCAGAGAUAAGUUAGUAAUUGAAGUGUUGAUAUGAGCAAGCUUAAAGGUGAAUUGGAAUGUGACGAUGAACUUAUUAUGAGCGAGCAUGGUAUGUAAUUAGGAAACUAUCGGAGAAAGUGAGAGGGAGUGUGGGAUUGAGAACUUGGGUGUCCUUAUCAAUUUGAGGACUUACACCCACACAAAUUCCAGAUUCGACACAGUUGUUAUUGAAGGUGGAGAAUUAGUAUAAAAUGAUGAACUACGAGUGGUUUGAUCCCUUUAAAAAGGUACGUAGGCAGCCCGAUCGAGUUUUGGGUGCAGCCGCAAAUUAACAAAAUAAAUUUAGGUUUCAAACACAACAAACCUUCUGUCUGUUUUGAGGUCCUACCACCGUUUCGAUUUAGGAUUUUCUUAGUUAUUUUAUUCGUUUAUUUUUCCUAACACCUGGGUCAGGGUGUUACAAAGACGACCCAAGGCUGGUCAAGGCGGGCCAAGGCUGAUCAAAGCGGCCACUUGACAACUCAAGACGACCCUAGGCGACCCCUUGGUGGUCCCAAAUGGGUCUUGGCAGCUCUUUGGUAGGUUAAGGCGGCCCCUUGGUGUCCUUAGACGGGUCUUGGAAGCCCUUUGGCGGGUCAAGCCAGCCCUAGUUAAGUCUUGGUGGGACUAAGGGAGGUCAAAGUGGCCCUAGGCGUGUAAAGGCAGCCCCUUAGCGGGUUAAGGCGACCCUAGGCGGGCCUAAAAGGGUCAAGGCAACCACUUAACGGAUCAGGGCGGCCCAAGACGGGUCAACGCAGCCCAAGACGGUUCAAGGCAGCCCCAUAAUGGGUCAAGGCGGCCCAAGGUAGGUCACGGCGGCCCCUUAACGGGUCAAGGCGGCCUACAAAGGGUCAAGGCGGGUAAGGGCGGCCCAACGCGUGUCAAGGCAUCCCAAGGCGUGUCAAGGUGGCCCAAGGAGGGUCAUGACGACCACUUGGCGGGUCAAGGCGGGUUAAGACGGCCCAAUGCGAGUCAAGAUGGGCACACUGCAGCCCUAAGCUAGACAAGGCGGGUUAAGGCGCCCAAGCGGGUCAAGGCAGCCCCUUAAUGGGUCAAGGCGGCCCUAAGCGGGUCAAGGCGGGGCAAAGCGGCCCAAGGCUAGGCAACGCUGGUUAAGGCAGCCCAAGACGGGUCAAGUCGGGCCAAGUUGGGUUACGGCAGCCCCUUAACGGAUCAAGGCGGGUUAAGGCAGCCUAAGGCGGUUUAAGGCGGCCACUUGGCUGCCCAAAGCGGCCGAAGACGGUCCCUUGGCGGUUAUAGGUUGGUCACGGCGUCCCCUUGGCGACGCUAAACGAGUCUUGGUAUCCCCUUAGCAGGUCAAGGCGGCCCCUUGGUGGCCCUAGACAUGUCUUGAUAGCCCCUUGGCGGCUUAAGAGAGGUUAAAGCGGCCAAAAGCAUGUAAAGGUAGCCUCUUAGAGGGCCCAGAAGGCCCCUUGGCGGGUCAAGACGACCACUUGGCGGCCCAAGGCGGGUCAAGACGGCCCAAUGUGGGGCAAUGCUGGUCAAAACGGCCACUUGACGGCCCAAGACGACCCUUUGGAGGCCCUAGGCGGGUCACGGUGGCCCCUUGGUGGUCCAAAACGGGUCUUGGCAGCUCCUUGGUGGGUCAAGGCCGCCCCUUUGUGUCCUUAGAUUGGUCUUGGCAGCCCUUUGGCUGGUCAAGUCAGCCCUAGUUGAGUCUUGGCGGGCCUAAGGGAGGUCAAAGCGGCCCAAGGCAUGUAAAGGUAGCCCCUUGGUGUCCUUAGAUGGGUCUUGGCAGUCCCUUGGCAGGUCAAGGUGACCUAAGACGGGGCAAUGCUGGUCAAGACGACCCUAGGCGAGUCUUGGCCGGCCCAAGGGAGGUCAAAGCGGCCCUAGGCGUGUAAAGGCAGCCCCUUGGCUGGUCAAGAAGACCCUAAGCGGCCGAAGGCAGUCGAAGGCGCCUCAAGGCGGCCUAAAACGGUUCAAGGCAGCCCCAUGGUGGCCCUAAACAAGUCUAGGCGGCCAUAGUUGAGUCUUGGCGGGCUUAAGGGAGGUCAAAGCGGCCCUAGGCGUGUAUAGGUAGUUCAACGCGGAUCAAGGCGUGUAAAGGUAGCCCAAAACGGAUCAAGGCGUGUCAAGGCGGCCCAAGGCGAGUCAAGACGGCUAAUUGGCGGCCCUAAGCGGGUCAAGGCGGCUUAAGGCGGGUCCUAAGGCGGGUAAAGGCAUCCUAAGACGAUUCAAGGCAGUUCCUUAAUGGGUUAAGGCGGCCCAAGACGGGUUAAAGCGGCCACUUGGCGGCCCUUUGCGGGUUAAGACGGGUCAAGACGGCCACUUGGCGGCCUUAAGCGGGUUAAGGCGGUCAAAGGUUUGGGCAAGGCUGGUCAAGGCGGCCCAAGGUGGGCAAGGCGGGUCGCGACAGCCCCUUAACAUGUCAAGGUGGGUCAAGGCGGCCCAAAAUGGGUCAUGGCGAUAACUUGGCGGCCCAAGGCGGCCCCUUAGCGGCUAUAGGCAGGUCACGACAACCCCUUGGCGGUGCUAAACGGGCUUUGGUAUCCCCUUAGCGGGUCAAGGCAUCCCUUUGGUGGCCCUAGACGGGUCUUGGCAGCCACUUGGUGAGUUAAGGGAGGUUAAGCGUGUAAAUGUAACCCCUUGGCUGGCCUACAAGGCCCGUUAGCAGGUUAAGGCGGCCCAACGCAAGUCACGACGAGUCAAGGCGGGUCAAGGCGGCUCCAAUGCGUCAAGGCGGCCCAACGUAGGUCACAGCGAGUCAAGGCGGCCUAAGGCAUGUCAAGGCUGCCCAAGGCAAGUUAAGACGGCCACUUGGCGGCCCUAAACGGGUCAAGGUGGCUCCAAGGCGUGUCAAGGCGACUCCAAGGCCGGUCAAAGUGGGUUAUGGCCGACCAAGGCAGGUCAAGGUGGGUCAAGGCGGCCUAAGGUGAGUCAAGGCAGCCUAAGACGGUUCAAGGUAGCCCCUUAACGGGUUAAGUAGGCCUAAGACAGUUCAAGGCAGCCCCUUAACGGGUCAAAGCGUGUCAAGGCUGCCCAAGGCGGGUCGAAGGCGGCCUAAGGCGGGUCAAGACGGCCACUUGGCGGUCCUAAGCGGGUUAAGGCGGCCUAAGGCGGGGCAAAGCGGCCGAAGGCGGGGCAAGACUGGUCAAGGCGGCCGAAGGUGGGCCAAGGCGGGUCACGGCAGCCCCUUAACAGGUCAAGGCGGGUUAAGGCAGCCCUAAGCGGGUCAAGGUGGCCUUAAGCGGGUUAAGACGGCCCUAAGGGGGUCAAAGUGGGUUAAAGCGGGUCAAGACGGCCACUUGGAGCCUUAAGCUAGACAAGACGGGUCAAGGCGGACCAAAGCGGGUCAAUGCGGGUGAAGGUGGCCCUAAGGCGGUUCAAGGCAGUCCAAGACGGUUCAAGGUAGCCCUUUAUGGGGUCAACGCAGCCCAAGGCUGGCCUAGGCGGGUCAAGACGGCCACUUGGCGGGUCAAGGCGGGUCAAGCGGCCCAAGACGACCUAAUGCAAGUCAAGGCGGGGCAAGGUUGGUCAAAGUGGCCACUUGACGGCCCAAGUCGGCCCUAGGCGGGUCACGGCGGCCCCUUGGUGAUCCAAAACGGGUCUUGGCAGCUCCUUGGUGGGUCAAGGCGGCCCGUUGGUGUCCUUAGAUGAGUCUUGGCAGCCCCUUGGUGGGUCAAGCCGGCUCUAGUUGAGUCUUGGCGGGCCUAAGGGAGGUCAAAGUGUCCUUAGGCUUGUAAAGGCAGCCCCUUGGCGGGUUAAGACGGCCCCUUGGUGUCUCUAAAUAGGUCUUGGUAUCCCCUUAUCGGGUCAAGACGGCCCAAGCCAGCCUAAGGCGGCCCUAGUUGUAUCUUGAUGGGUCAAGACGUCCCUUGGCGGGUCAAGACGGCCCUUGGCAGGUCAAGGCGACCCUAGGUGAUCAUGGAGGGUCAAGGAAGCCCCCUUAAUGGGUCAACCAAGGCGGUCCUAGAAGGUCAAGGCGGCCCCUUGGUGGCCCUAGACAGGUCAAGAAGGCCUCUUAGCGACCUUAGGCGAGUUAAGGCGGCCCUUUGGUGGCACUAAACGGGUCUUGGCAGCCUCUUGGUGGAUUAAAGGAGGUUAAAGCGGCCUAAAGCAUCUAAAGGCAGCCCCUUGGCGGACCUAGAAGGCCCCUUGGCGGGUCAAGGCGACCUAGGGGGCCUAGGUGGAUUAAGGCAACCCUUAACGGGUUAAGGCGGCCCAAGGCGGGUCAAGAUGGCCACUUGGCGGCCCUAAACGAGUCACGGCGGGGCACGGCGACCUAAGGCGGGGUAAGGCUGGUCAAGGCGGUAACUUGGUUGCCUUAGGCGGCCCCUUGGUUGUCCAAAACAGGUCUUGGCAGCUCCUUUGUGGGUCAAGGCUGCCCUAGUAGAGUCUUGGCGGGCCUAAGGGAGGUCAAAACGGCCCUAGGCGUGUAACGGCAGCCCCUUGGCGGGUUAAGACGACUCAUUGGCGAGUUAAGGCGACCAUAGACGGGCCUAAAAGGGUCAAGACAACCACUUAACGGGCCAAGGAGGCCCAAGGCAGGUCAAGACAGCCUAAGACGGUUCAAGGCAGCCCUUUAACGGGUUAAGGCAGCCCAAGACGGUUCAAGACAGCCCCUUAACAGGUCAAGGCGGGUCAGGGCAGCCCAUGGCGUGUCAUGGUGGCCUAAGGUAGGUCAAGGUGGGUCAACGCAGCCCAACGCGGGUUAAAGAGGCCUAAGGUGUGUCAAGGCGGCCCAAGGUGGGUCAAGACGGCCACUUAACGGCCCUAAGCGAGUUCAGGCGACCCAAGGUAGGACAAGGCGGGUCAAGGCGGCUCAAGGCAGGUCACGGCGACCCCUUGGUAGCCCUAAACGCAUAAAGGCAACCCCUUGGCAGGUUAAGACGGCCCUUUGGCAGGCUAAGACAGCCCCUUGGCGGGUCAAGGCGACCUACGCGGGCCUAAAAGGGUUAAGGCAGCCAGUUAACAGAUCAAGGCGGCCCAAGUCGGGUUAAGGUGGCCCAUGGCGGGUUAAGGCAACCCCUUAACGGGUCAAGGCGGCCCAAGGCGGGUUACGAAGGGUCAAGGCGACCCAAGGCGUGUCAACGCGGCCCAAGGAGGGUCAAGACGGCCACUUGGCGGCCCUAAACAGGUCAAAGCAGGUUAAGGUGGCCCAAAGAGGGUCAAGACGGCCAUUUGGCGGCCCAGGGCUUCCUUAACCCUCCUAGGCCCGCCUAGGGCCACCAAGGGCUUGACCCUUUUAGGGCCGCCAAGAGGCCACCUUAACUCAUUUAGGGCCGCCAAAAGGCCACGUUGGCCGCCAUGGGCCGCCUUGACCCGCCUUGGCCGCCUUGACACUCCUACGGGCGCCAAGAGGUCGCUCUAACCAAUCUAGGGCCGGCAAGGGGCCGCUUUGACUGACCUUGGCCCCUAGGUGUCCCAAGACGGGUCUUGGCAACUCCAUAGUGGGUCAAGGCGGUAGGUUGGUGUCUGAAGACGGGUCUUGGUAGCCCCUUGACGGGUCUAUGGGAGGUCAAAGCGGCCCUAGGCUUGUAAAGGCCGCCCCUUGGCGGGUCAAGGUGACCCUAGGAGGGCCGGAGCCACAUAACGGGUCAAGGAGGCUCAAGACGGGUUAAUGCGGGGAAAGGCGACCCAAGACGAGUAAAGCCGGUCCAAGACGGUUCAAGGCACCCCCUUGGUGGCCAUAAACGAGUCUAGGCGGGUCAAGGUGACCAGUUGCUGUCUCUAAACAGGUGUUGGCAGCCCCUUGGUGAGUCAAGGCGGCCCUAGUUGUAUCCUGACCCGCCCAAGGCUGCCUUGACCCUAUUAUGCCCGCCUAGGGCCACCAAAGGGCCGCCUUGACCCGUCUUGACCUGCUUUGGGCCGCUUUGACCCGCCUUGACCCUCCUAGAGCCGCCUUGACCCUCCUUAGGCCACCUCGACCCGCCUUCGCCAUGAGGCCGCCUUAACCCAUCUAGGGCCGCCUUGACCCGCCUUGGCCCGCCAUGAACCUCUUUGACCCACCUUGGGCCGUCUUGACCCUCCUUGGGCCGCCUUGACCCGUCUUGGACUGCCUUGAUCCCCCUUAACCUGCCUUGGGCCGCCUUGACCCUUCUUGACCUUCCUAAACCCUCCAAAGAGCCGCCUUAACCCGCCUUAACCCGCCUUGACGCCUUUACCCUUCUAGGGCCACCAAGGGGCCGCCUUGACCCUCCUAGGACCGCUUAGGGCCUCCAAGGGGUCGCCUUAACCCGCCAAGAGGGCGCCUUGACCCGCCUAGGGCCGCUAAGGGGUUUCCUAGACCCUCCUAGACCCAUCUAGGGGCAUCAAGGGGCCGCCUUGACCCGUCUAGGGCCUCUAAUGGGUCGCCUUGACCCGCCCACGGCUGCCUUGACCCGCCUUGACCAUCCUUGACUCUCCUAGACCCUCCAAGAGGCCGCCUUGAUCCGCCUUAACCUACCCUGGGCUGCCUUGACCCGCCUUAACCCGCACAGGGCUGCCUUAACCCUCCUAGGCCUGCCUAGGGCCACCAAGGGGUCGCCUUGACCCUCUGAGGGCCGCCAAGAGGCCACCUUAAUCCUAUUAGGCCCGCCUAGGGCCACCAAGGGGUCGUAUUAACCCGCCAAGAGGCCACCUUGACACGCCUAGGGCCGCAAAGGGGUUGCCUAGACCCUUUUAGACCCAUAUAGGGGUACCAAGGGGCCGUCUUAACCCAUCUAGGACCUCCAAGGGGCCGCCUUGACUAGCCUAGGGCUGCCAUGACCCGCCCAGAGCUGCCUUGACCUACCCAGGGAUGCCUUGACCCGCCUUGGCCGCCUUGACCCUCCUAGGGCUGCCAAGAGGCCGCCUUAACCCAUCUAGGGCCGCCAAGUGGCCGACUUGACCCGCAUUGGCCCGCCAUGGGCCUCUUUGACCCUCCUUGACCCUCUUUGGACCGCCUUGAUCCGCUUUGGACCGCCUUGACCCGCCUUGACCCUCCAAGGGGCUGCCUUGAUCCGCCUUAACCCGCCCAGGGCCGCCUUGUCCCCUCUAAAGCCGGCAAGAGGCCACCUUAACCUAGUUAGGGCCGUCAAGGGGCCACCUUGGCCCGCCAUAGGCUGUCUUGACCCGUCUUGGGCCGCCAUGGGCCGCCUUGACACUCCUACAAGCGCCAAGAGGCCUCCUUAACCCAUCUAGGGCCGCCAAGGGGCCAGUUUGACCCGCCUUGGCCUGUCAUGAGCCGCCUUGACCCGCUUUGGGACGCCUUGACCCGGUUUGACCCUCUUAGAGCCGCCAAGAGGCUGCCUUAACCCAUCUUGGGCCUCCAAGGGGCCGCCUUGACCCGUCAUGGGCCUCCUUGACCCGCCUUGACCCUCCUAGACCCUCCAAGGGGCCGCCUUGACCCGCCUUAACCCGUCAUCGGCCUUCCUUGACAUGGCUUCCUUGACCCUCCUACGGUCGCCAAGAGGCCACCUUAACCCAUUUAAGGCCACCAAGAGGCCGUCUUGACCCGCCUUGGACCGCCUUCACCCUCCUUGACCCUCUUAGACCCUCCAAGGAGCCGCCUUGACUUGCCUUAACACGCCUUGGGCCACCUUGACCAGCGUUGGCCUGCCUUGACCCUUCAUGGGCCGUUUUUACCCGUCUAAGGCCGCCUUGACCCGCACAGGGCUGUCUAGACCCUCCUAAGGCCGCCUUAACCCGCCUAGGGGUUCCCCAGACUUAGCUAGACCCAUCUAAGGGAACCAAGGAGCCGCCUUGACCCGUCCAGGGCUGCCUUGACCCUCUUAGUCCCGCCUUGGUCAAAGCAGCCCAAGGCGGGCAAGGUGGCCCAGGGCGGGUCAAGACAGCCACUUGGUGGCCCUAAGCUGGUCAAGGUGGUCAAGGCAGAAAAAGGCGGCCGAAGACGGGUUAAGGAGGGCCAAAACGGGUAACGGCGGCCCCUUGGUUGCCCUAAACGGGUCUUGGUAGCCCCUUGGCGGGUCAAGGUAGCCCCUAGUGUCCCAAGACGGGUCUUGGCAGCCCCUUGGCGGGUCAAGGCAGCCCCUUGGCAAGUCAAGCUGACCCUAGAUGAGUCUUAGCGGGCCUAAGGGAUGUUAAAGCGGCCCUAGGUGUGUGAAGGCAGCCCCUUAGCAGGUCAAGACGGUUGGCGGGCCUAGGAUGGUCAAGGUGACCCUAGGCGGGCCUAGGAGGGUCUAGAAAGGUGAAGGCAGCCACUUAACGGGUCAAGGAGGCUCAAGGCGGGUUAAGACGGCCCAAGACGGUUCAAGGCAAUCCCUUGGUGGCCCUAAACGAGUCUAGGCGGCCCCUUGAUGUUCCUAAACAUGUCUUGGUAGCCCCUUGGUGGGUUAAGGUGGCCCUAGUUGUGUCUUGGCGAGCCUAAGGGAGGUCAAAACUGGCCUAGGCGUGUAAAGGCAACCCUUGGCAGGUCAAGAUGACCCUUUGGCAGAUCAAGACGAACCUAGGCAGGCCUAGGAGGGUCAAGGCAGCCCCUUAACGGGUCAAGGCGGCCCAAAGCGAGUCAAGGCGGCCCAAGGAGGGUUAAGGCGGCAACUUGGCCGCCCUAGGCUGCCCAAGACGGCCCCUUGGCGGCCUUAGGCGGGUCACGGCGGCCCCUUGGCGGCGCCAAACAGGUCUUGGCAUCCCCUUGGCGGGUCAAAACUGCCCAUUGCUGUCCCUAGACGGGUUUUUGGAGCCCCUUGGCAGGUCAAGCCGACCCUAGUUGAGUCUUGGCGGGCAUAAGGGAGGUCAAAGCGGCCCUAGGCAUGUAAAGGCAGCCCCUUGGCGGGUCAAGACGGCCCAAGGCGAGGCAAGGCGUCCCAAGCGGGCAUAGGAGGGUCAACGUAGCCCCUUAACGGGUCAAGGCAUGUCAAGGCGGUCCAAGGUGUGUCAAGACGGCCCAAGCCAGCCCAAGCCAGCCCUAGUUGUGUCUUAGCGAGUCAAGGCGACCCUAGGCGUUCGUAGGAGGGUCAAGGAAGCCCCCUUAACGGGUCAAGGCGGCCCUAGGCGGGCCUAGAAGGGUCAAAGCGAACCCUUGGUGGCCCUAGAUAGGUUAAGACUGCCUCUUAGUGACCUUAGGCAGGUCAAGGCGGUCCCUUAGUGGCCCUAGACAGGUCUUGGAUUCCCCUUAGCGGGUUGAGGGAGGUUAAAGCGGCCUAAAGCAUGUAAAGGUAGCCCCUUAACGGGUCAAGGCGGCCCGUUGGUGGCCCUAGACGGGUCUGGGCAGCCCCUUGGUGGCCCUAAUUGGGUCUCAACGGGUCUUAGUGAGGUCAAAGCAGCCUUAGGUGUGUAAAGGCAGCCCCUUGGCGGGUUAAGGCUGCCCUAGUUGGGUCUCGGUAGGUCUUAGGGAGGUUAAAACAGCCCUAAGCAUAUAAAGGAAGCACCUUGGCGGGUCAAGACAGCCCUUUGGCGGGCCUAAGAGGGUCAAAGCAGCCCUUUGGUGGCCCUAAAUAGGUCAAGGCGGCCCCUUGGUGGCCUUAUACGGGUCUUGGCAGCCCCUUGGCGGGUCAAGGCGGCCCUAGUUGGGUCUCGGCGGGUCUUAGGGAGGUUAAAGCGGUCUUAGGCGUGUAAAAGCAGCCUCUUGGUGGGUCAAGGCGAGCCUAGGAGGGUGGAGGCAGCCCCUGAACGGGUCAAGGUGGGUUAAGGCGGCCCUUCGGUGAUCCUAGACGGGUCAAGGCGGCCCCUUUGCAGGUCAAGGCGGUUCUAGUUGGAUCUCGAUAGGCCUUAGGGAGGUCAAAGCGGCCCUAGGUGUGUGUAAAGGCAAGGCAGCCCCUUAGCGGGUCAAGGCGGCCUAGGUGGGUCAAGACCACCCCUGAGCUACCCUAGGUAGGUCUCGGCAGCCCCUUGACGGGUCUAGGCUGUCCCUAUGCGAGUCUAAACAAUCCCCAUGCAGGUCUAAGCGGCCAUUGGUGGCCCUUAGGUGAGUUAAGGUGGCUCUGGGCGGGUCUCAGCGGCCCUUGGCUGGUCUAGGCCACUAAGCGGGUCUAAGUUGUCCCUUUGCAGGUCAUGGCAACCCUUGGCGACCCUAAGUUGUCCCUACACGGGUCUAGGAUGUCCCUACACUGGUCAAGGCGGAUUUAGGCGGCCCCUUACUGGUUGUCCAAAGUAAUUCUAGAGAGUCGAAUUGUUAGUUGGAGCGAGAUAGAUAUAUGACAUUAGCAUGGAGCAUAUCGAUGAAUUAAGUGGUGGAAAUAUGAAUGGAAUGAGUACGUUAAAUUCGGAAAGCACGGGAAGAACGUGAGAAGAGUUGUAGAUCAAGGAUUCUAGAUUUUACUAUAACGAGACACGCUUUCUCCAAUUUUCUUCUCACUUUUUGUCAUUACGAUUAUAAUCCACAUAAGUUAGAUCGUUGAAGAUCAUACAUGUGCUCAAAGUAAACACAUCAACAUUCUAAAGAAAAAAACAUGACAUAUAAGACAGGGCAAUACUGCAGUAUAUUGAAAUCUUUGGGGUCACACAGCCAAAUCUUAAAAUUGCAACAAUUACUCUAUCGGGUAUAAAAGAAAAACCCUUGUAACUGAUUAGUUUAAUCCGUCCACUCUCUUUCUCUGAAACCACUUCCUCUCUUGAACACCCAAAAAGCCUCACUCUUUGUCUCUCCUCUCCUCU